rnacentral:rRNA from 1 species
AGCGAACGCUGGCGGCAGGCCUAAAACAUGCAAGUCGAGCGCCGUAGCAAUACGGAGCUGCAGACGGGUGAGCAACACGUGGGAACGUACCCUUUGGUUUGGAACAACACAGGGAAAAUCGUGCUAAUACCGGAUAAGACCUUAGGGGGAAAGAUUUAUCGCCGACAGAGCGGCCCGCGUUAGAGUAGCUAGUUGGUGAGGUAAAGGCUGACCAAGGCUACGAUCUAUAGCUGGUCUGGGAGGAUGCUCAGCCACACUGGGACUGGGACACGGCCCAGACUCCUACGGGAGGCAGGAGUGGGGAAUCUUGCGCAAUGGGCGAAGGCCUGACGCAGCCAUGCCGCGUGAAUGAUGAAGGUCGUAGGAUUGUAAAAUUCUUUUACCAGGGACGAUAAUGACGGUACCUGGAGAACAAGCCCCGGCUAACUUCGUGCCAGCCGCCGCGGUAAAAC